rnacentral:rRNA from 1 species
CCUACGGGAGGCAGCAGUGAGGAAUAUUGGUCAAUGGGCGCGAGCCUGAACCAGCCAAGUCGCGUGAAGGAUGACUGCCCUACGGGUUUUAACCUUCUUUUGUUCGGGAGCAAUAAUGGUCACGUUUGGCCAGACGAGAGUACCGUACGAAUAAGCAUCGGCUAACUCCGUGCCAGCAGCCGCGGUAAUACGGGGGAUGCAAGCGGUAUCCGGAUUUAUUGGGUUUAAAGGGUGCGUAGGGGGGGAGGUAAGUCAGCGGGGAAAUGCCCCCGCUCAACGGGGUGAAGUGCCAUUGAUACUGCCUUGCUGGAAUGCGGAUGCGGUGGGAGGAAUGUGGGGUGUAGCGGUGAAAUGCAUAGAUAUCACGAAGAACUCCGAUUGCGAAGGCAGCUUACUAAACUGCCACUGACAUUGAGGCUCGAAAGUGUGGGUAUCAAACAGGAUUAGAUACCCCUGUAGUC